rnacentral:rRNA from 1 species
AGAGUUUGAUCAUGGCUCAGAACGAACGCUGGCGGCAGGCCUAACACAUGCAAGUCGAACGGGCGUAGCAAUACGUCAGUGGCGGACGGGUGAGUAACACGUGGGAAUAUGCCUUUCGGUUCGGAACAACUCGGGGAAACUCGUGCUAAUUCCGGAUACGCCCUUACGGGGAAAGAUUUAUCGCCGAAAGAUUAGCCCGCGUUGGAUUAGCUAGUUGGUGAGGUAAUGGCCCACCAAGGCAACGAUCCAUAGCUGGUUUGAGAGAACGACCAGCCACACUGGGACUGAGACACGGCCCAGACUCCUACGGGAGGCAGCAGUGGGGAAUCUUGGACAAUGGGGGAAACCCUGAUCCAGCCAUGCCGCGUGAGUGAUGAAGGCCUUCGGGUUGUAAAACUCUUUCGACGGGGACGAUAAUGACGGUACCCGUAGAAGAAGCUCCGGCUAACUUCGUGCCAGCAGCCGCGGUAAUACGAAGGGGGCUAGCGUUGUUCGGAAUUACUGGGCGUAAAGCGCGCGCAGGCGGCUUCUCAAGUCAGGGGUGAAAGCCCAGAGCUCAACUCUGGAACUGCCUUUGAGACUGAGAGGCUUGAGUACGGGAGAGGUGAGUGGAAUUCCCAGUGUAGAGGUGAAAUUCGUAGAUAUUGGGAAGAACACCGGUGGCGAAGGCGGCUCACUGGCCCGUUACUGACGCUCAGGCGCGACAGCGUGGGGAUCAAACAGGAUUAGAUACCCUAGUAGUCC